GAGCAGAAGAGACGAGAGAUGGGGAAGCUGAUACGUGAAGAGGAACAAAGAGGGAGAAGACCACUCAAGAAUUUGGCUAAGAUUGAAGUAGCGGCCUAAGCGAUCGGUGAGGAUGACUCGUAGAGUUUAUCCGGUUAUGUUGGUUCGUGUCGAGUCAUGCUCUGAUUGUAACACUGGGGAACGAUAGUUUAGAGACGAAUUAUUAUGUCGGUCUUGUUGUUUUAUGAUUGUUUUAGAAUAACUUGCACGGAUAAUGAAUAUGCAAUGUUAUGGAUUAUUGUCCGCUGUGUUGAACAUGAAUUGUAAUUAUGUUAAGUGGUUCCUCGUGUAGCAUGACAAAUGACUAUGGUAUUUUUCUGUUAAAGAAGUUGUGACAUCCUUGUAUUUCAUGUUUACUCUGAUUAUUAUUCUAUUUUCCGCGGGGGUUUAGAAGGGUGUUACAGAAACCAGGAUGUCCCAUACCACCUACGUCACCGGAAUUGAAUCUUCAUCAUACCGAACUUACCGAGAAGUGGUCGGGCGUUUUUGUUGAUAGGAUGCAUGAAUUCAAAAGAUUGAAGAAUAUCGUUAAAAUCUUGAAUGCAGAUAAGUCAAAAUUGGAACCACCAAUAGAUUUAGCUGGCGACAGUUCUUUUGAUGUAUUUUUGGUUUUCAAAAUGUAAUCUAUGCACUAUAUACCAUUACAAUAUAAUCAUUUUUUGUA